UAAGUCACCCCCACCACCUUACCACUACUCCUCACCGCCACCUCCAGUGUAUUCAUUUCCACCACCUUUGCCAAUAUACAAGUCUCCGCCACCACCUUACCAUUAUUCCUCACCACCACCCCCAGUGCAUUCACCCCCACCACCACCAGUUUACAAGUCUCCCCCACCACCUUACCAGUAUUCCUCACCACCACCUCCGGUGCAUUCACCACCACCUCCUCCAGUUUACAAGUCCCCGCCACCACCUUACCAUUAUUCCUCACCACCACUUCCAGUGCAUUCACCUCCACCAUCACCGAUUUACAAGUCUCCACCACCACCUUACCAAUAUUCCUCACCACCACCUCCACUGCAUUCACCUCCACCACCACCGAUUUACAAGUCACCUCUACCGCCUCUUCCAGUUUACAAGUCUCCGCCACCACCUUACCACUAUUCCUCACCACCACCUCCGGUGCAUUCACCUCCACCACCACCGGUUUACAAGUCACCUCCACCACCUCCUCCAGUUUACAAGUCCCCGCCACCACCUUACCAUUAUUCCUCACCACCACCUCCGGUGCAUUCACCUCCACCACCACCGGUUUACAAGUCACCUCCACCACCACCUCCAGUUUACAAGUCCCCGCCACCACCUUACCAUUAUUCCUCACCACCAACUCCAGUGCAUUCACCCCCAUCACCACCAGUUUACAAGUCUCCGCCACCACCUUACCAUUAUUCCUCACCACCAUCUCCGGUAAAUUCACCUCCACCACCACCGGUUUACAAGUCACCUCCACCACCUCUUCCAAUUUACAAGUCCCCGCCACCACCUUACCACUAUUCCUCACCACCACCUCCAGUGCAUUCACCCCUACCACCACCUGAUAGGGUAUAAUUUGUUAGUAUUUUUAUUAUUAAUUUUCCCUUCUAUCCCUGACAAAUAUUGUGUUAAUUGCUGAUAUUUACUCAUAUUUGGUAUUUGGAAUCAAUUUCAGGAAUGAAGCAGAAAACUACCAAAAAGGAGGGACUUUGUGAAAAAUAUGGAGACUUCUAAGGGCUUCAAUCCUUGGGCCCUUGAAUUGGUGGGGGACCACAAGCUAGUGAAAGGCAUUUGGUCAUUUGGGCUUCAAAGAAAGCAACGUAGAGAGACUUGGAACAAGAAGUACUUGGGAGGCUUUGUCCACAUGUGUGGGGACCACCUAGAUAGCUUUUAGUCAUCUUUCUUUUGUUGCUUUAAAAGGGGACAACGUACAGAAGCAAAAGAUAUCUAGGGCUUUAGUUUUAGUUUUUAGUUUAGUUCUAGUUUUCUUUCUUUGGACUGGCCUCUGACACACGCCAGGUAUUCGACAAUAUUCCCCAACGGGGAGAUUUUCUCAUGAGGCGUGGUUAAGCUUUUCAAGGGGACACUGACGAUUUGGUUCAAUUUACUGUGAGAUCGAAUCUGUUUUAUUUUUUUCUUCAUUUUGGUUUUUAUAUGUUCCUUGAUUUUAAUUGCUAUGGCCUUGUGUAUGAUUGAUUAGUGCACAAUAAUUAAUUAUUCAUAUAGGCUAUUUUUGCUAAAUAGGGGUAAUUGAAUCCGUAAUUGUUCGUUAUCUCUACCUCAGUAGCAACUGGCGUAAUUGGGUUUAUGUCAGGGGAGCAUAUGAUCUAAUUUAAACAAACCCUCGUAGCGUAUUUGUUGGUUAGGAUUGGGCCUUUCUAAUUAUUAUGCAAUCUAGAAAUUAAAUCCUACGGUCGUACCUAGGGUUAUUUUUGGGUUAGAGAAAUAGCUAACGGUCGUACCUUAGCUAUCGAGAAAUUAAGGAAGGGUUGGUUGUUUAUCGCGUGCAUGACAACUAUAACUAAUCUAUUGCUAAAUGUUGGAAUUAUUUCUGCAUCAAUGAUCAGUGCCUGAACCAUUUCUGAAGUGUACCCUUGGCUAGAGUUUCUCUUAAUUAUUUCUUUUAAUCAAUUAUUUUCUGCACUUGAUUUAUUUAGUUAGCAUUUAAUCCAAGAACCUCCCAUACUCUGGACUCUAGAAGAAACGAAUUAUCCCCAAUCCCUGUGGAUUCGACCCUGCUCGCCGCUAUAUACAAAAUCUGUAUUUUUCUUGAGUAGGUAAUUAUUAUUGCACAGGUUCGGCACCUGUCACCACCAGUUUACAAGUCUCCGCCACCACCUUACCAUUAUUCCCCACUACCACCUCAAACGCAUUCACUCCCACCACCAGUUUACAAGUCACCGCCACCACGUUCUCCAGUAUACAAAUCACCUCCACCACCUCCUCUAGUUUACAAAUCUCCACCACCAUCAAUUGAUAAAUACAAGUCUCCUCCAGUGUACAAGUCAUCUCCACCACCUGCUUACAAGUCUCCACCUCCUUCAGUUUACAGUUCCCCACCACCACCAAUCUACAAGUCUCCACCUCCACCCUACCAUUACUACUACAAUUCUCCUUCUCCUCCUCCUCCUUCUCACUACUAAGCAGUUGUAUCCAAGUUUUUGAGGUAAUAACGCUUAACCAAUAAAUUAACUUUCGCAUGAUAAACCUUAUCCCUAUCAAGACAAACUGCCAUGUGUAUCAUGGCAAAUCCGUACACUUAGAUCCAUGAAAAUGAGUGGUAGAAGGUUUUCUUAAGAACCAAGGAACAGCAAUAGUAUUCCCACUGCUUCCAAAAACUUGUGUAUUAAAUAGAUUAACGAAUUGUUUAACAUGCUUAUCUACUUGAAAAUGCACAAUACCCAUAACCCAUUGAAAUUUUUGCAGGAAAAGGGGAAGAGAAUCUGUGUUUGAGAGCUUCAUGAAGAUGUUGAAGAAUAAGAAUAAAAGCCCAAUGCGAGGAUGUUUUCAAGUUUUUCUAUGUUUCCACUUUAAUUUGUAAAUUGAAUUUUGCGACUCAAUUAAUUCCCUGUUUGUGGGGUACAUAUUGUUUUACGUACCAUGCCGUACAUGUUUGUAAGGAUUUCUAUCCUAUUGGCAAAAGUCGGUUCCAUACAAUUAAUCAAUUCAUUUCACUUCUAUUGGCUCUACUAUUUAUGCAUGUUACGACAUUUUUUCUCUCUUUCCCUUAUAUUUUGCCUUUAAUAUUAUUGAGUCAAUAGUAAAAUUAUACUAUUAUAAAUAGGUAGUUUGGUCUAACGCUAAAUUCAUGUUUGUCUUUCUUUUAUUCCCUUUACAUCUCAAAGUAUACCAUAGUUUGUGAUCAUUGUGGUGAUGAUACACUACAACAAAAAUGGCCUUUCCUGACAUGUCUAUAAGGACACUUGCUGGUUUUUGUCAUUAUAGCACUUCUAUCAUGACAUUUGUUAUCAAUUCACUAAUUUAUACUUUUUUUUAUUUUAUCUGAUAUAAAAAUAAUAAUGUGUCUUUAGAUUUCCUAUCAUGGCAUUUUAGAAAAUGUGAGAUACAACGAAAAAAUUAAAACAUAAAACGAUGUCGUUUGAUUUUGACGGAAGAUUCAUUUGCCAAAACACUUAGUGAAAUCUCAAAACUUUCAUUGUGUCGAUUCUUCUCCUCUCUCUCACAAACCCUCUCUCUCGGCAGACUAUCUCUCAAAACUCCCCCAUUUUGGUUCUUUUGUCUUCCGCCUUCGCCGCCGCCCCACUCCUCCAUUUUCGGUUGCUAACUUGGCCGCUUCUCUGCCCUAUUCGGUCAACCACGACACCUACACCAAUAAGUCUUCGCUCUCUUUGCUAGGACAAAAGGAAUAAAAAAACAGAUACUCAUGUUCUUUCCUUUUUCUUCUUUCCUCUGAAACCGAUCCCCAUGCUUCUCCGUACUGACUAGAUAUUCAGGUUGAGCGUGUUGAGGAGUAGAGUAGGCGAAGGUUGCCGCCAUCGUCUCAUUGAAGUCCAGCCACUACAGCGGAAAUCAUCACUGUAAAGUUUCCCGUACUCUUAUACCUUUUUUCCCCCUUAAUUGUAUUGUUUUCUUCUUUGUCUGCAAUCAUGUCGGUUAUGCUUUACUUUCGUCUUGUUAAUCGAUUUUAAGUGGCUGGAAUUGAUCAUAGGUUUGAGUAGAGUUUUAGAUUUAAAAUUCAAGCUCAGGCCGUAUAAGGAACUGAUGAAAAAGAAAUUUCAAAACUUUUCAUCCUCACUACUUGUUUGUCGGAAGGUUCGAAUGAAGAAAGAAGGAAAUUUGCAAUGGAAGUGAACAGAGAGAGAUGAAAGUGAUUGGAGAGUGAAAUUUUGCCUUGGUGAACUUUUCUUUUGUUUUUGAUCAUCAAGUGCAAUAGAAAAGUACAUUUAGUACAAUUUCCUAACUAUCUUAGAGGAAAUCUUGUUUGGAACUUUCGCUGGAUGCUAUGCAACUUAUUUUUGAUGCUUUGGUCAUGAUUGUUGUUCUGUUUGCUACAGCCCCAUAAGAAGGUUUUUUUUUAAUUAUUAUUAAAAAUUACCGCAUAGCUUGGAUACUUUUGCAUUCCAUGCACCAUGUCAGCUAUUCAUAGCACAUAGCACUAAAGUAGAGCACUCUGUAAUUUUGGAGAUGUUUCAUCUACGCAUUCAAUUAUUUCGAGUUUUUAGUCCAAUGGGUAAUAAAUUGGUUGUACAUCACUUAUUAUGUUGCAUCCCAGUUAUAUUGACCUAGAACAAUUACCAUAUAGACAAAAAGAAGAUAUUAACUGCAGCAAAUUGAAGAAUAAAAAGAGUAUUUGUCAAAUCUUUUCUCCCAACAUCCCUCGUAAUUCUUUCCCCCAACCUCAACUUAGGCACACAUUGUGUCUCUCCUUUUCUUCUUCAAACUAAAUGUUCUUCUCAUGGACAAAUAAGAAUAAUUUGAAUUUAUGAGGAUACAGAGGAAGAGAAUGAAGAUGGAGAAGUUAAUUGUUAUAACUCCAGUUAUGAUAAAGUUGAAGAUGACUUUACAUAAGAUGGAUUAAGUGACUAGUGCUCUAUUGUAAGAUGCUGGGUGCAUAUCUUAAUUUCUUUGAAUUGACUUUAUAUCUCAAAAAAAAAAAAAAUUGAAGGGAUUCUAUAUUUAUUUGACUUGUGUGGUAUUUAUUUGUGUGACUGUCUUGUUUUUUGUCUGCUUUUAUGAUCUAGAGCAUUGAUUACUCUAUAUUUUUAGACAAGAAUAUAUUGUUUUUGUUGUAGAAUUUCUGUAGAAAAAAUACAGAUCUUGCACAUUAAACCCAAUGGGGACUGUUUGCACUAUAAUGCAUUAUGGGCAACUAACAAAUUGGGAUUUGCUAGCCAUUCAAUAUUUUGUAAAUCCUCUGCAGUGUAACAUACUGGAAAUUGCCUUUCAGUUACAGUCUCCAGCGAAGUGUCCUGAUUUAGUCUUUCAAGUUGGAAUGUGACUAAUAGUUUCUUAUCUUUUAAAAGUUUGCCAAUUUCAGGAGGAUUGGUUACAUAGUUUUUUAAGAUUUCUUUCCUCCAGUGGGCACUUAAAAAAAUAGUGAUUAUUGAGUGCUUUGAUCUGUUGAAAUUUAAUUGAAAAUUUUCCGAUCAUUAAUUGACACACUUCAAAAUACUAAUGACUACAUAUGUCAAAGCACAACCUAGGAAAUUAUAUCAGCACGUGCUCCGAUUGUAUGGUACUAAACUUGCAGUGCUUCCACAAAGAAUGUGAAGAGCACAUAUAUACUGAUCAUUGAAAAGAUAGAUUUCUAUUAUGAUUCUGCUAAUGUUUGAAGCACUAAAUGUGAAAUUGCUAUCUAUUUUGAAUGAGUAUCUGUUUCUAUGAAAACUUUGGACAAAUAUGCAUAUGACAAUAGUUUCUAAUGAAGUUACAAACGAUGCUGAACCUUUGGCAUUAUACCAAGAAGGUGUUAAUCAAGUUAACUGGUUACACUUCUAAGCCCUUGCCUGUGGGCAGAAUCUGAGCUAGCUUUAUUCAUUUGUAGCAAGAAGUAAUUUUGCAUGCCAAUGCCAUGCAUUGUUGACUAACCUGUCGCAUUCAGUGUUUGGACAGGUGGGAGUAUAUUGGCGGCACUUGGUUCCUUUCAGCAAAUUUGGUUUUCAAAAUCUGAGUAAGCUUUUACAUCUACUCUACCUUUCAAUAUUCAACUUUUCUUCUUUUUUUCUCCCCAUUUUCAGUCUGUUUUAUCUCUCGAUUAAUAGGUUUGAGGAACAUGGAACUUCUUAUGUUCAAAGAAAAUGCCCGUAAAGUACUUUACUGGUGCGGACAAUUAUCACAUUAGACAGAAAUUCAUGGAGCUGACUUCACUUUGAUUAGUUCGCUGACGGUAUGGGUUGCUCGGUUUUAAUAUCCUGCUUUAUAGGAGCCCAAGCAAUGUACUAUAUAUAUACUAUACCUCUCGCGGAUCGUUGCUAAUGUUGUACAAUUACGUUACCUGACUUUUAGCAUUUCUUUCAACUGGUUAGGGAUGAGAGUCUUUUUGUUUGUGCACAAGAAAGUCUUUCAAGUUAUUGUAAAUGAGAAUCUUUCGGUAAUUUUUUGGGAUUUUAGUACUUGCUUUGAGCAUUUGUUUGCGAUUUUAGUACUUGCUAUGUUUGUACUUGUUAUUGACUUUUAAUUCAAUGAAUUAUAUUUGAGUAUCGACUUCUUCUUUUAAAUUGCUAUAUGCAUUCUGCCUUUUGGGAUAAUUUUACAAGUCCCUUGGGAUUCUGGUUGAUGGAAUGUACAGCAGGGAGGACUAAUUACAGGUUGCUUCCAUAUGAAAAAAAAACAGGAAAAAACUCCUGGCAAUUAGAAGUGUCAGCAUAGCUUAGCUUCAAAAAACACUAAUGACAAAUGGGCAUGUCAUCCAAAGCAGUGUAAAUUCACAUGGCUACGUGUCCUUAAAGCCAUAUAUUAAGACAAUUCAAGAUGCCUUCAUAAAUUGGAUAUACUACUAAUCCGCUACUGAUGUUCUAAUGCUAUACGGACACUUUCGAUUAUCACAAAAAAAAGUUUUUGUUGGCAGAGGGAAUGCUAUAGCAGCAUGGUUUUCCUGACACAUUUGAAUGUUGCCAAAGAUUUGAGGCUAUCCCCACAUUGGAAGGGACAACACUCGCCCUAGGUGUGAGGAUAGAUAAAAUGUCAGGUUAGAUUAUCUAUACUGACACCUUUAAAUGCCGCUAAAGGCCAUUUUUGUUAUAGUGAUAUUACCGGCUGGUACAUAUAGUUUAAGGCAAAGACAUGAUAUUAACCUAUCUCAUUGAAACAUAAGGAAAAAUCAUGACAAGUGUGAGUCUUGGAUAAUGCACAAUUUGUAAGUGGAAUUUAUACUUAUAAAACUCAAAAAAAAAAUUUCACAAUGCUAUUACUAAUUAAUUAAGGACUUUAUUGCUAUAAUUUAUCGCUUACUAGUUUAAACUGUAAAUGAUCUCAAUAUUUUUCUCCGUGAUGUCGAUUUCUUUAGACUACGAAAGGGAAAAAUUAGUGACGUAUCCCCUACUUAGUUAUAAACUUUUCCAGUGGUUUUAAAUCCCUCGGGCUAAGGACGUACACUUGAUCCAUGAAAAUGACUAGUAGAAGAUUUUUUUUAAGAAUCAAAGAAAUGCAUUAUUUUUUCGGUCUGUUUUCAAGAAUUUGAGCAGUAUACAGAUUAAAGAGUGUUUUUUUUUAAACUUGCUUAUCAACAUAGAAAUGCACAUAGCUGAAAGCCAACUGAAUAUUUGCAGGCAAAGGAGAAGGCAAUCGGUGUUUGAGACCGUCAAGAAGAUGUAGAAGAAUAAGAAUAAAAGCCCAAUGCGAGGAUGAUUCCAAGUUUCUACGUUACUAUUUCUACAUCUAAAUUGACUUUAGCUCCUGAGUUCCAUGUUUAUGGGGUUUGUACCGUUUUACGUACCAUGCAGUACAUGCUUGUAAGGUUUUCUGUCCUGUUGGCAAGCCGCAAGUCCAUAUAAUAAAUGAAUACUAUUUAUAUUACGACACUUUUCUCUCUUUCUCUUAUAUUUUGUCUUUAAUAUUGUUGAUCAUUUUUUUUAUCAAAAGUAUCAAAUGCUUAGGUAAUUUGGUCUAAUGCUAAUUGUUUUACUUUUAUUUUUCACCUACAUCCCUUUUCAACUCAAAGGAUGCUACAGUUUGUGAUCAUUGUUUAAGACCGAAGCAUGGUACUAAUAAAUAUCUCAUUGAAAGUCAAGGAAACUAACAUUAUGAAAAGUGUAAAUCUUGAUUUGAUGAAACUAUUUAUUCGUGGAAUUUAGAGAUACAAAACUCAAAUUGUGACGGUGUUGCUGCUAAAUUAUUAAGGACAUUAUCACCAUUAUUUUUCCCUCACUAGUUUCAUCUGCAAUGAUCUCAAUCUUUUUGUAUUGAUCGGUUGUAAUGAAUCGCGAUUGAUUGGUUGUAAUCCGCUUGUAUUGAUCCCACUAUUGUGGAUACUUCUACGCUCAACAAAAAAUAUAUAUAUUAAAGAAUUAGCAAUAUUUUUUAGAACAAGUUAAAUUUAUUCAUACAAAUUAGACAAAGAAGUAUUUUAAAGACCAUGAUGAAAUUAAUACUUCCAAGGUCUCUAUUAGGAAGACUUCCUUGCCUUGAGUUGCAGUUGCGUGCAGAUGUUUAUAUUUCAAAUUGAUGGUAUAGUAAAAAUGUUGAAUUUCUUUAUCCCCGUGACUUCAAAAAUAUGAACUCAAGAAAUUAACUUCUUAACCAGUAUGUCAUACAAGCUUCACAAGAAAUGUAUAACUUUGCAACUAGAGUCAAUAGAAAUCGUCACAUAAUUAUUAAUUUUACAUCGAAAUUAAGCCUGUAUGACAUACUGGUUCGAGGUUUGGCCACGCUACCUUCCUAUUGUUUAAAAAUUCUCACAUAAUCCCUUGUACUUUGGACUAAACUCGAAUGUGAAAAGAAACCAUCCAAGCUAGUUUGGGAUACACUUGUUGCACUUUGAACUAAACUUGAACGUGAAAGGAAAUCCCAAAACCAUAUUGGGCAUGAAUUCACACUUAAUAGACCCAAAAAAAGAUGGCGACUGGUGAUGGAGGUGAAAGGCAGUGGGGACUGGUGGAGAGAUUUGAGGAAUAGAAGCAGACGAAAAAGCAACAAAUUUUUGCCAAAAAACGGUGACUUUCAUGGUUAAUAUUGCUACUCUCUAAUUGUACUUGACCAAUACAACAGUGAAAUUGUAAUUUAUGCUGAAGAUGGAGUUUGAUACGUGAAGAGAAUUUUUUAUAAAUUUUAUUUUGACCCAUAAUGUUAUCUUUAGAUACAAAAAAUAUUUUAAAAUUUUGAUUUUGGCCCGGUUAACUUUUGGUAAACAAAAAAUGCUCAUGCUUAGUGACAGGUUGUCGAUGCCUGUGCAAAAAUAAAAAUAAAUCUAGUUGCCAAUUAAAAUAAUCAGAGCCCAAUUCUGAGUACUGGAGCAGGGACUCUAGGUGUGCAAUGGGUUACUUGAUUCACUCUAUUUCCGAAGAGUUUGCUUAACCCGAUAUACCAGAAUGGGAUUGCUUAUUCAAAAGGAAUUGUUGAUUUGUAAACAGGGCAAGUAGGGUCGUAUUCUCAGGUGGGCUGGCGGUGCGCGGUCAAUCGACGGAGAAAGAGAGGAAAGGACGCGGGUGGAGGUUUUUGGGUUUUGGCCAAGAGAAGAGGGAACGCAGGGAAAGAGAGAGAGAGGGGCGGUGCUCGGGAAGGUGAGCGGCGGACGACGGCUAGGAGGGAAAAGGAGGAGCGGCGUGCGAAGUUAGAGAGGAGGAGGGAGGCGGCAUACGAAGGAAAAAGAAAUCAAGGAAGAAGAAAGAAAGAAAAGAGGAAGAAAGAAAAGAAGAAGGAAAAAAAAUAGUUUUUGGGUUUUUUUUCAAUUUUUUUUUAUUUUUUUGAAUUUAAAUGUCAAAUUUUGAAUUUUUGAAAAAAAAAACUGAAGGUUAAAAAGGAAAAUAAUUUUAUUUUGCUAAAAAAAAAUUUUUAUUUUUUUAUUUUUUUUUGUUUUGGAUCGUCAAACACAGCGUGGGCACGCCAAAAUUAUAAAACGUCCACUGAUCUUGGGAGUCACUGACACGGCGUGGGCACGCCAAGAUUUCACUUCCUGCCAACGUCGCGAGAUGUUGAAAUUGUACUAACAUGGCGUGGGCACGCCAAGAUUGGUAAACAUCCACUGGCCUUGGGAGUCACUUUUUGAGUGUCCUCCUCGCGUGGGCAUGCCAAGAUUCUAUGUCCUGGUCACAUUGGAGAAAAAUAUGAAAAUUGACUAGUACCCAAAUGAAAAACGACAAAUCGAAAGAAUUGAACAACAAAAAAUAAUAAAGCUAAUAUUUGGGUUGCCUCCCAAAAAGCGCCUUUUUUAACGUUUUUUGUUAGACGUUGAACACCACUCUUCAAUUUGGAUGUAAUUCAAUUUUCCUUGUAAUCGGUGGUCCUACUCCGGGUUCCAAAUAAUCAUUGAGUGCAGCCUUCUUUCUUUAUUUUCUAUUCAUUUUCACCUCAUAAAUUGCUUUCAUUCCCUGAUAUUUGUUCGCAAGAAUUUUGAAUUUACCCCUACAACCAAACUCAAAAAAUUCUUGCACAAAGGAAUUAGUAGCAUGAAUAGCAAACACAGAAUGAGAGUUAACAGUAUGUUUUAUUGUAUUAAAAAUAUUAAAAUGGACUAUUUCUCCAUCGAAUUCCAUUGUGAGAGUACCCUUACUAACAUCAAUCUUAGUUUGGAUAGUACUCAAGAAUGGCCUUCCUAAUCUAAUGGAUGAUGGAUUUGGGACACUUUCAUCAUCCAUAUAAAGCACAUAAAAAUCAGCAGAAAAAAUUAAUCCAUCUACUUGCACUAAAACAUUCUCAACUACCCUAUCUGAAUAAGUAAAUAUACGAUUAGCCAAUUAAAUUAUUAUCCCUAUUUCUUUUAAAGAUCCUAAAUUUAGGGAAUCAUAAAUUGAUUUAGGCAUCACAUUAAUAGAAACUCCUAAAUCUAGCAUGGCAUUUUUUAGAUUAGAAUGUCCAAUCUUACAUGGGAUAGUAAACAUACCUAGAUUCCCGUAUUUAGGUGGUAGUUUCCUUUGUAAAAUUGCUGAAAUGUUCUCAUCUACCACAAUAUGCUUGUCCUCCCUCAAUUUCUUCUUGUUGACACACAAGUUUUUCAAGCAUUUAGCGUAUUUUGGCACUUAUUUGAUCGCGUCCAACAAAGGAAUAUUGAUUGCCACCUUGCGAAAAAUGACGGAAUUUUUAUAUCAAUGCAAGUUUAAAUUCGAUUUUAUACCCGUUGACUGCAAGUAUACAGGCCGAAAUUGUAAUGUAGGGUAUGUAUCGGGUCGAUCCCACGAGGAGCAAAUUAAACAAGUACUAAGCCCUUAUUUUUCUCUAUUAUUUAGACUCACAAUAAAUUUGAACAGAGAAAGUAUAUUGCUAAAAUUUACAAAUUUGAUAUACAAAUAUAAUUUAACAAAUGCUAAAUGCAAAAGAAGAAAUUUCACUCAAGGAAGAAUUUAGGGAUGUAGAUUCCACUUAUGGCAUAAACAACACAAAUGAAUGGAUUUACCUCUUAUUAUUAUUCUUGUUUAACUAGGGAUUCAUUUCCAAAAUUAUCAAGUCUCAUUUUCAUGAUGAAAUGGCCUAGACCAAUAUAGUUUUCCCUAUUUUCAUGGUGAAAUACUACUACUACUCUGUUUUAUUUCAUGAAAUGCUGAAUAAUCCACCUAAGUGUAUCUCUAUUUUCAUGAACAUACAACUUAAGCUCUACUCAUUUAUUUCCAUUGUUACUACCAAUUCUCAUUGAAUAAUAACAACUAUAAACAUACUAUUGGUGAUCAAUCAAUAACAAGUAAUCACAACUACACAAGUAAACAAGUUAAUACAAAAUAUAACAAGUGUAAAUCACAUUCAAGUCAUAUUAUUUAGCCAUAAGUUUCAUCUACUUCCUAGAUAAAGAAAAUUAGCUACUCAUGAAUGAUUUAACAAUCAAACUCACAAGUUUAUUAAUGCAAAAUAUCAUAAAGUACAAGUACAAGAAAGAUAAAAGAAAUCUUAGCCAAUUGAUGGUGAAUCCCUCCAAUUUCUGCUAUGUUCUUGUACAAGAUGAUUACAACUGAAAACUCCAAAUGCUUCUCUAAGGACUCCUAGCUAGAGAGAAAAUGUUACAAGAAGGAAAAACUAGCUACGUAUGGUCCUGUCCUGCUUCUCCCCUGUGUUUUUGCAUAAAAGGUAGUAGAAAGUCUAUUUUCCUCUUCAUAAUUUCCUCCAUUCAGAUUUUGUAAAAAGAAGUCAAAGAUAUGAUGUUUCCUUUUUUCUACAACUCAUUUGGUCUUCUCUUUUGUUGCAGAAGCAUGUGCCACCGAUUUCUAUCCCUCAAAAUAGUUGAAAAAAUUGUGAGAAAGGUAAAGAAAAACAGCUGUGUCACUUGCUGAGCAGAGAGACAAAUCCGAGCCUCGGAUCCGGGGGUGAAACUGGAUCCGAGGACUUCCCAAGGUGGAUCCGAGGUCGGAUCGUUCUGACCUUGGAUACACUCCUCCAAAAGUACAUACGAGGGCUCGGAUCCCUCUUGUUCACACGGAUCCGAGCUCGAAUCCGUGUUGAUUAAAUUUUCAGUUUUUCACUUCUUUCCUUUUUCUACAUUUUUGCUCCCAAUUUCUUUUGUACUUUGUCCUCUGGAUGAUCCUUGCAUUUCUUUCAACUUCGUGCACGAAUUUCAUACAUCAAUAACCUUCACAAUUUCACAAAAUUAACUCAUUAAUCCACUCAUUUAUCAAGUUUUGAACACUUAAACAAUAUUUUAAGUAAUUAUCACUAAAAGAGUUCAAAUAUGGCUUUAAUCUUCUCAAAACAUGCCAAAGAUUCAUGCCAAAUCUGUACAAAAUGUACGUUAAAUAUUCACUUAUCAAAAAACCUCUAAAAUCUCCUUUUCUUUAUCUUGCUUCUUUGAUUUCUCUAACCUGCUCGGAAAAGGCGGUAAGUUAGUUCCAACUCUAAUUAUAGAAUCAGGAAUUAUCUUUGGAUUCGCAUUUCUCAUUCCUUCCUCCUCAAGCUCUUUGUCAAUUCAAUCUUCAUUUUUAUCUUUCGGAAUCACAAGUUCGGAUCUCUGAAUUUUCUUCCCGUUCCUUAAGAUCAUUGCACUUACAUUUUUCAGGUUCAGUUCAGGUUGAGACGGUAAUUUUUCAUAAACUUGGGAUUCCAGGCGGUUGAUUGCUAUUGCCAUCUAACUCAUCUGAUUCUGCAUUACUUGCAUCUGUCCCAAUUGAUUUUUCAUACUUUGUAGGUCAGAAUCCAUUUUUUGUUGAUUAGCAAUUAAUUGCUUCAUCAUCUCUUCUAUAGACAGACUUGAGUUUGAAGGAGGUGGUGGCGGGCGAGACUGAUACUGUUAUUGAUACCCUUGCUGUCUAUUUGGUGUAAAAUCUGGCUGCCUAUUUCCUCCAUAGUUGAGGUUGGAAUGAUCUCUCCAACCAGGAUUGUAUGUAUUCGUGUACGGGUCGUAUGGCUUUCUUAGCACGGGCGCGUAACCAGCCAUGUUCACUUGCUCCGUACUUUUCUCUUGAAUCAUUGAGCACAUCUCUGUAGAAUGACCCAUAGCAGUGCAGAUCCCACACAAUUUGGCUCGUGAUGUAUUUCCUAUAGCUAAUUGCCUAACAAAGGAUGUUAAUUCGGUCAACUGCUAUUGGAUGGAAUAUGUCUCUACCUCAUUUACUUUGCGUGUCGGGACAUCUUCCCUCGUAUCAAACUGUUACGAAUUCUCCGUCAUUCCUUCAAUUAGCUCCUACGCUUCUCAAGAAAUUUUGUUCACCAAUGCCCCUUCACUUGCAGCAUCAAUUAUACUCCUGUCUCUAAAAAACAGCCCCUCGUAAAAAUAUUGGAUGAGCAAUUACUCACUUAUUUGGUGUUGAGGGAACUUGAUGCAUAACUUCUUGAAUCACUCCCAAUAAUCAUAAAGCGACUCUUCUAGAUACUGCUUGAUACCGCAUAUCUCCUUCCUUAGGCUUGCAGCUCGAGACGCAAGAAAAUAUUUGUUCAAAAACUUUUUCUUCAACUGAUCCCACGUGGUGAUGCUACUUGGUGGUAAGUAGUACAGUCAGUCUUUUGCGGAGUCCUUCAAGGAGAAGCAGAAUGCUCUCAUUUUUAUCUGUUCUUCUGUAAUUUCCGGAGGUUUCAUACUGUUGCAAACGACAUCAAACUCUUGCAAAUACUUAUACGGUUCCUCACCUGCUAAAUCAUAAAAAGAUGACAAGAGAUGAAUUAGACCAGAUUUUAACUCAAAUGGAGUGGUUAUCAUUUAAAUAUGGAAAAGUAAUACAUAAGGGCUGCUGUUUUAAAUCAGGAGCAGCAAACUCCCUUAGUAUCCGUGCAUUAGCCAUAGUGACUUCUUCUCGAUCCGAGUCACUAGAAGUAUCACUAUGUGAAUCUGUUAGUUCAACUUCUGGCUUAGGUCUUUGAGAUGAAGCACUGGAGUGCUCUUCUCUAAGUUGUCCGGUCUCUUUCCUUAUUUUAUGCGCAGUCUUCUCUACCUCGGGGUCAAAAAUUAAUUCACCUGUAUGAGAAGAAUGAGGCAUAUACUAGGAAAGCACUAGAAAAUUAGAACAAAAAUGAACCUAAAAAGAAACAAAUAAACCAACACCAGUCCCUGACAACGGCGCUAAAAAUUGACAGGUUAUCGAUGCCUGUGCAAUAAUAAAAAUAAACCUAGUUGCCAAUUAAAAUAAUCAGAGCCCAAUUCUGAGUACUGGAGCAGGGACUAUAGGUGUGUAAUGGGUUACUUGAUUCACCCUAUUCCCGAAGAGUUUGCUUAACCCGAUAUACCAGAAUGAGAUUGCUUAUUCAAAAUGAAUUGUUGAUUUGUAAACAGGGCAAGUAGGGUCGUAUCCUCAGGGAUUGGAAAAAAUUUGUUUCUUUUCAAAUCCACAGUAACAAGGAGGUGUUUUUGUAUAAACGAUAACAAUCUAAGGAGUGCAAAUAGAAAUAAAUAGAUAACUAGAAAUUAAAUGACAAUUCACUAAAAUUAGAAUAAUAAUAAUUAAAGGUCUAGCCAAGAAAUAAUUUCAGCAAUGGUUCACCUAAUUGAUCAUCGACGCAAAGGCAAUUCCAAUUAUUUACUAAUAAAUAGAUUAUAACUGUCAAACAAGUGAUGAUAGUCAACCCCUCCUUACUGUAUCAGUGAUUAAGGUAUGUCCGUUAAUCACUGCUAUAAUUGAGAAAUAAUCUUAGGUACGUCCGUAAGAUUUAAUUCCCCAAUUGCCUUACGUAUUAGAGGAGCCCUAUUCUAACCAAAUAACGCACUAUCAGGAUUAUUUUAAAUUAGCCCAUGUAUUCCCUUGAUACAAACCCAAUCAUGCCAGUUGUCACUAUUUCAAGGCAAUGAAACAAUUACGGAUUUAAUGCCCUAAUUGACUAUAGGUUACUAAAUCAAUUCACUAUCUCGAUCCAAGAUAAUCAAUCAAUUUAACAACUAAUAGCACUGCAAUCGGAGAAUAUGUAAAUACCAAUAAAUAAGAGGAAAAGAUAAAAUUAAAUCGAUCUCACAAUUUUUAGACAAACCAAAGCAUCAGUUAUUUCUUGACUAGAAAAGAAAAUUUAGUUCAUUCCUAAUGCGAAAGACCCACGCGAGAAUUCAAAAAUAAUAUUCACGGACAUCGUCUUGAUCCAGUAGAUUCAAUUGCGUUGGAAUAAGGAUAAAAAACCAAACUACAGAGAGUGAUUCAUUGUUUUGUUUCGUCUGCACUUUUUCUACACAUACGGAAGAAGAAAAACAACUAAAGGAUGAAAAAAGAAAAGUCAAAGAAAGCCACCCAAAGUAGUGCUUGGUCUCUACCAUCCUAUUUCCUAUCUAAUUACUACUUCCCUUCUGCGGCUGCCUAGAGGAAGAAAGAAAAGGAGACUCCAGGUCUUGUUCCAUCUCCUCCCUUUUCGGCAAUUCCCCAAAAGUAGAAAAGUUCCUCCGUUUACCAAAAUGCCCCUGGAAUGAGGACCGCUACUUGAACUCAUUUCCUGAUGACUGUCAAAUUGACACUUGUUAUGGUAUUUGCGUUCCACUCCCUGUAAUAAAUGCAAAUUGUCAAAAGUGAGUAAAAUUUGACAAUUAAUUUAAAUCGGGUCAGGUAAUAGGGGAAAUUAAUUAUAAAAUAAAUGAUAAAAUUGUAACCUAUCACUUAGAAUAACUAGAAAUAAAACAAAACAAGAAAUGAAAGAAAUAAGAGGGGUAGCAUAGACAUUUUGGAUUUUUCUGUUAAUUUGGAUGAUUUCCACCCACGGUCUAAUUUAAUCCAAAACACAAAUGGAUUAUGUGGAGGUUUUUAAACAAUGAGGGAGUAUCAUGAUCGAAUUCUAAAACACAAAGGGGAUUUACUAUAUUUUACUCUUAAAUUUUGGUUUCAUCUCAUAGCAUACAAGAGUACUAUUUCACUGUCUGUCGACAAAGAUUUUCUAUGGUUGAUGUACCAUAGGAAAAAUCUGCCUAUACCAUCAUUUGGAAAAAUUAUCAAUCCAAACAUAGCCACCAUAGCAUUUUUUCAAAAACACAAGAUGGAAAAUUGUCCCCUUAAACGUUGAAAUUCAUGAUCUUUCCUCGACCUAGUCUACUUGUCAAUUCUUGAAAAAAGAAUAGUCACGCCUAAAACACGGCCUCUUCAUCUGCAGAAUUCUAAAAAGUUAGGUAAACUCUAUAAACAAGUUGAUAGGUACAAUCGUACCCAAGAUCAAGUACAGGUAUUUGUACAUUCACUGCUGCAAUAACUAAUCUGAUGACUUACAAACACAUCAUGGUCAAUCGUUGAAUGGUAAUGAGUCUUUUGUUAUGCAUUAGUAUUAGUGUGUACACUCUAAUAGAUUGAUACUUAUACACUUUAAAUUAUCAUAAUAAUACCCUUAAUUAACUUUAACUCUUAAAAAGAAUACGUGUUAAUACACGAGAGUGUGUAAUAGAACGGCAAGCAUUAUGGUGGUCAUUGAGCAACUUAUAGGAGAAAUAGUCCUAUAAGCUGUUCAAUGACCAAUCACAACUUGCUAAUUGGAUGACUAAUAUAGCUCUAGCUGUAAUGUUUUAAUUAAAUUCCAUCACUAACGUUGGGAUGACUUUUUAACCAAAAAAAAAAGCCUUAGUUCAAGCUCUUCCCUUUAUUGUGCAUUUUUUAAAACAUUUGAUAGGCACUGCAAAUCUGUCAUUUUGGACAUUUUAUUAUUAACUAACCAUGAAAGCCGUGGACAUCAACCCAUAUCCAACAGAAUAUUAAAUUAAUAUUAGAAAAAAUUAUUAAGUAAUUGGAAAAAAAAAAGAAGAGACUAAUUUUCAUUGAAACCCACCGACAAACUAUACGUGUCCAUAGCUUUUGAUUAGUGCAUUCAACGUUUAAUUGUAUAGUCCAGUUCAUAGCCGAUUACAUGGAGUAAAGAUUGUGCUCUUUCCUUUUUCACCCCUUUUGGAAUCGAUACUGUGGAGAAUUGGGUUUUUCCCUCCUUUUUUUCUUUUCUUUCCUUCUGUGCUUUGCAAAACAUAGGUAAAAAUAUGAAAUCCGAAGCAUUCUUUAAUUGGGAUUAAGUAUUGUUCUUGAAAUUAAAAAGAAGAAAGAAAGAACAACAAAAAUCCCAAUCUGGGUUGAUUGUUGAGCUCUAGUUUGGCGGCAUCGUGCUUCCAUAGAAGUUCUCUUAGUGUGAUACGCUGCUUUCAAUCAGUUUAACACGGGAAAAAGAAAAGACAUGAAAAGCAAAUUUUGUGGGGAUAAUUUCAGAAAUCUCUCCUGAAGUUUUUUACUAUUUUACUGGCCUCCUUUCAAAUUUUAAAAAUUACACUAGUCUUCCUUGAGAUUAUUUAUCUUGUAACAUUUAGGUCCAAUCAAUAAUUAAAAGAUGAUAUUAUGAGAGAGAAAAAAAUAUGAUUUUAUCAUUGCCCCCAUCUUACUACAUUAUUGAAUUAAUUUAAUAGCAACCCACACAUUAAAGAAAAAUACUAAUAUUUGCUGUUUUUCAUUGAAGAUCAAAUCACAUGUGCCAUAAAAUAUAGUAUAUCAUUUUAUAUAUUUCACUUAAUGUAAGAUCCAAAUUAUUCUUUUCAAUUACAAAUCCAUUGUUAUUAUAAAAAAAAAAAUAAACUUUAACAUCAUAAAUAUUCUUAUCAAAAUAUUAAAGUUAGUUACUAAAAUUUUUAUGGUGUUAAAGUUCACUCUUUGUAAUAUUUAUGGGUUUGUAAUUGAAAAGAAUAAUUUGGAUCUUACAUUAAGUGAAAUAUAUAGAAUGAUAUACUAUUUUUUAUGGCAUAUGUGAUUCAAUCCUUGAUGAUAAAAAGCAAAUUCAAGUGUUUUCUUUAAUGUUUGUGCUGAUAUUAGAUUAAUUAAAUAAUUUAGUAGAUGAAAGAAAAUAGUGAAAUCAUAUUAUUUUUUCUUUCCUAAUAUCACUUUUUAAUUAUUGGUUGAACUUAGAUAUUACAAAAUAAUAAAUCUCAAGGGAGAUUAGUAUAAUUUUCAAAAUUUGGAGAGAAGCUAAUGAAAUAAUCAAAAACCUUAAGGGAGGUUUACAGAAUUAUCCCAAUUAUGUGGGAAUUAGAAUAAUUGUACUGGACGGCACUGCUGCAAUAGAGGGAAAGAGGAGAAGGUGCAGUUAACUUUUGUUGUUUGAAAUCCUUGGCGAAAUAUUACAGAAAGACAGAUAAAACGGUGGUUAGUACAUAAAUGUUUAUGACAGGGAAAAUGGUACGUCUGUUAAUCACAUUUGAAACAUUUUCAUUGGUGAAUGACCAAAAGUAUCAGGCUUGUCCAAUAGUUGAUCAUUGACCAAGAUAAAACCUGCCAUGGUAGAGCCGUAGAGGUACGAUCUUUUCGUACCUCUUAGUGCACAGGACAUUCCUUUGUUUCAUCUAGCUAAUAAUCUACCAACUCAUUUCUUCACAAAUGCACCUUUUAUGGUCACGUCUACGAAAGCCUUUACAGGAUCUUUACCCUAAAAAUCAAUUCACCGACUCCCAUUUGAUGUCAGAAAUUCUUCUACUUUACUCCAAGAUUGACUGUUAAUAAUAAUGAGACAAUGACCACUUUGAAUUAGGGGUGCGCAAAAUUAUCUGCUAAUCCGAAAAUCCGUCAUAUUCGAUCUGAUCCGAUCCAAAAAUUAGGAUAUUUGAUUUUUAUUAUUUGAUCGGAUCAAAAGAGGGUCGGGUAUCCGCUAAGAUACGGGGCGAGUUAGAGUCACAUAAUUAAAAAUUCGCGGGUAUCCGAUCCGCCCCGCAUAUAUAUAUUUUUUAUUUUUAUACACACUAUAAAAUAAUAAGUUAGAACCAAAUAAGUAAUUUUAUUGAACAAAUUGCAUUACAAAUAUGAGAGACUAUAGUUUAUUUACAAGAUUCAUUUGUAAAGGUCAUGAUCUUAUAUUUUAUAGAAAAAAGUUUAAUUAAUGUGGAACAUAUAUAUUAAAAAUUGUGCUACUUAUUUCAAACUUUUAUUGAUUUUGAUUUCUUUUAAUUUUUUUCCUUUAUCUUAUAUUCUCUUCAUAUGCUUGUUUCUUGGUGGGAAACCUUUUUUUAGAAAAAAAAAAUUAUUAAAUCUUAGAUGAAUGUGUAAAAUAUAAAAUUAAAUUAGUAUAAAUCAUUUUUUUAAAAAAAUUAAAUGAUAAACGGGACGGAACGGGUACCCGCUGAUCCGACCCUAUCUUAUCGGGUACCCGCUGAUAUGCGGGGCAGGUAAAAAUCAGAAAAUGACUGACCUGUAAGGUGCAGGUCGAAUCAAUCAAAUGGUGAAUGGGACGGGUAUACGACCCGCGCCAACACCUACUUUGAAUUAUCACACCAUCCUUCUUGAUAGGAUUGGUACUAGAGGUAGGGAGGGGAGUCGGCUGCAUCCGGUCUUCUUUUCAUAGAUGUCAUUCACGCAAUAUUAUAUUUCGAAGUCAUUGCAUGGCUAAGCUGCAAAAAAGUACGAACACUUGUUAUUAUAUAGCUUAAGAUUCAAAACGUUAGAGCAUAACCCUCCACCUAACACAAUUGAAUAAUGAAUAUUCACGAUUGUCAAAUCUGUCAAAGCACAGUUUGAGGACAACCCAUUCCAACCUGCAAAAGAUUUUUUACUUUUCUAAAGUUGUUGAGAGCUGUAAAAAGACUUACCAUGCUUACAUCUUCCGAGCCUUGGGAGUUAAAAAUGAAGGCACUGAGUGCUAUAAAAAGGGGGCUAGAGGCUGCCUAGAAGCAUAUCAGCCUAAAACAAGAAUUUGUAGUUAUGAUGGGAAGCAAAGCAAAAGCAAUGGGGUCUGGGCUGACUCCUCUUCUUACCACUCUUUUAGUGGUAUUUGUUGCUCUUGGCUUGCCCUCAGAAACUGCAGCUGAUGAUCACUACAAGUAUUCAUCUCCUCCUCCUCCUUACCACUAUCCCUCACCACCACCUCCAGAGCAUUUACCUCCACCAGUGUACAAAUACAAGUCCCCACCACCACCUCAUCAUGUUUACAAGUACAAAUCUCCACCACCCCCACCACCACACCCAGUUUACAAGUAUAAGUCGCCACCACCACCUCCUCAUCCGGUACCACACCCAGUUUACAAGUAUAAGUCACCACCACCACCUCCUCAUCCGGUACCACACCCAGUUUACAAGUAUAAGUCACCACCACCACCUCCUCAUCCGGUAUACAAGUAUAAGUCUCCUCCGCCACACCACACCCAGUUUACAAGUAUAAGUCACCACCACCACCUCCUCAUCCGGUACCACACCCAGUUUACAAGUAUAAGUCACCACCACCACCUCCUCAUCCGGUAUACAAGUAUAAGUCUCCUCCGCCACCACCACACCCAGUUUACAAGUAUAAGUCACCACCACCACCUCCUCAUCCGGUACCACACCCAGUUUACAAGUACAAGUCACCACCACCUCCUCCCCCAGUUUACAAAUACAAGUCUCCACCACCACCAGUUUACCACUACAAGUCACCACCACCUCCUCCCCCAGUUUACAAAUACAAGUCUCCACCACCUCCUCACCACUACUAAGCAAUUGCUUCUGAGGUAAUAACACUUGUUCAAUAUACCCACUUCUGCAUGAUAAAACAUAUCUCUAUCAACACAAACUGUCAUGUCUAUCAUGCUAAGUGCCUUCACUUCAUCCACCAAAAUGACUGCUAGAAAAUUUUUUUUAUGUUACCAAAGAAAGGCAUCAUUUUUUCCCUCUGUUAUCAAGAACUUGUACAGUAUAUAGAUUAAAGAGUUUUUUUUUAACUAGCUUAUCAACUUAGAAAUGCAUAUAGCUGAUAGCCAGCUGAAUAUUUGCAGGCACAGGAGAAGGAAACCAGUGUUUGAGAC
rnacentral:lncRNA from 1 species